UUUGCCUAUAUGGUAAAUGUGAGAUGCAGUGUAUGGGAUAUCAAAUUUCUAGUAUGAUAUAUUGACGAUUUAAGUCCUUCUUAAAUGAGGCCAUUUACCCAUAGAGGGUGCUAGGCCCGUAUAACGUUAAUGAUUACUAGAUGAUAUUUCCAAAGAGUCGUGUUGCUUGAUAGUGCAGCACUAAGUGGGUGGUAAACUCCAUCUAAAACUAAAUAUAACCAUGAGACCGAUAGUAAACAAGUACCGUGAGGGAAAGUUGAAAAGAACUCUGAAUAGAGAGUUAAAUAGUACGUGAAACUGCUUAGAGGUUAAGCCCGAUGAACCUGAAUAUCCUUAUAGAAAAUUCAUCAUCAUGAUAAUAAUAUAUAUUAUUAUAAUGGUGUGCAUUUUUUCUAUAAGGACAUUGUAAUCUAUUAAUAAUUUAUCAUAAGAUCAAGAUUAUUUAAAUUAUUUUGCUCAAUAUAACAUAGAAUAAAAGCAUUUGAUUUGAUAAAGUGUUGAUAGAUAUGGUGCUUAAAUUUUAUAAUAGUAUGUAUUAUAUGCACUUAUAUGAUUAACAAUGCGAAAGAUUCAGGAUACCUUCGGGACCCGUCUUGAAACACGGACCAAGGAGUCUAACAUAUUUGCAAGUUAUUGGGAAAAUAGCGUAAUUAACAUAACUUGGGAUUAGUUUUUUAAUUCAAUCCCGGGGCGUUCUAUCCAGUUAUGUAUAAUAAUAUCAUAUUAUUUAUACCUCUAACUUGAGCGUACCUUGAGCAUAUAUGCUGUGACCCGAAAGAUGGUGAACUAUACUUGAUCAGGUUGAAGUCAGGGGAAACCCUGAUGGAAGACCGAAACAGUUCUGACGUGCAAAUCGAUUGUCAGAAUUGAGUAUAGGGGCGAAAGACCAAUCGAACCAUCUAGUAGCUGGUUCCCUCCGAAGUUUCCCUCAGGAUAGCUGGUGCAUUUAAAAAUUAUAAGAUAUAAUCUUAUCUGGUAAAGCGAAUGAUUAGAGGCCUUAGGGUCGAAACGACCUUAACCUAUUCUCAAACUUUAAAUGGGUAAGAACCUCACCUUUCUUGGUAUGAAGGUUGUGGUUAUGAUAUAAUGUGCCCAGUGGGCCACUUUUGGUAAGCAGAACUGGCGCUGUGGGAUGAACCAAACGUAAUGUUACGGUGCCCAAAUUAACAACUCAUGCAGAUACCAUGAAAGGCG
rnacentral:rRNA from 1 species